AUGCUCACUUCGGCAGCACAUAUACUAAAAAAAUUGGAAUGAUACAGAGAUUAGCAUGGACCCUGUGCAAGGAUGACAUGAAAAUUUGUGAAGCGUUCCAUUAAAAA